CUUUUGAUACUCACAAAGUUACAGCGGUCCGAGCCUCUUUCUCUCUCUGUGGACUUCUUCUUCGCUAUUUCCUGCGUCCAUUUAUCCAUCUUCUCCUAAACACUGUAAUCAACAGUCAGUCUGAAACUGUGUGAUUUGGAAGAAAAGAGAAUCAUACGGUGGUGGAAGAAUGGAGAGCGCCGACGUCUUCCUGGGACUGCACGACUUUCUAGAGCGCAUGCGUCAACCGUCCGCUGCCGAUUUCGUCAAAUCCAUCAAGAGCUUCAUUGUCUCAUUUUCAAACAAUGCUCCUGAUCCAGAAAGGGAUAGUGCCCUGGUACAGGACUUCCUUGCCAAAAUGGAAGCGGCUUUCAGGGCUCAUCCACUUUGGGCUGGUUGUUCAGACGAGGAGCUGGAGAGUGCUGGUGAAGGACUCGAGAAGUAUGUAAUGACGAAGUUAUUUACCCGUGUAUUUGCUUCAAUUCCAGAUGAUGUUAAAGUUGAUGAGCAACUUUCUGAGAAGAUGUCUUUGAUUCAACAGUUCAUUCGACCAGAAAAUUUGGACAUUAAGCCAACCUUUCAAAAUGAAACAUCAUGGCUGCUUGCCCAGAAAGAACUGCAAAAGAUCAACAUGUACAAAGCACCAAGAGACAAACUUGUGUGCAUUCUCAAUUGUUGCAAGGUCAUAAAUAACUUAUUGCUUAAUGCAUCAAUUGCUUCCAAUGAGAAUCCUCCUGGAGCUGAUGAAUUUCUUCCUGUCCUAAUAUAUGUUACUAUAAAGGCAAACCCUCCACAGCUGCAUUCAAAUUUAUUGUACAUACAACGGUACAGGCGUCAAUCCCGGCUAGUUGCAGAAGCAGCCUACUUUUUCACAAAUAUGCUCUCUGCAGAGUCUUUUGUCUCAAACAUUGAUGCAAAAUCUAUUUCAAUGGAGGAAACUGAAUUUGAAAAGAACAUGGAAUUUGCUCGAGCGCUUCUCUCUGGACUUUCAACUGAUUCAGAUAGUCUAUCUAAUCAAAAUGAUCAAAAUGUAGGAAAUAGUGUGGAAUCCAAGUCUCAAUCUUUGAGUUCUAAGAAAGAAAGGGACUCCUCAAUUCGAUCCAAAUCUUCUGAAACAAGAUCUGGCAAUAGAGACUGGCAAUAUGUGAAAGAUGAGUCGUCCAUGGCAAAGGUUCCAUCCCUCUCAGAUAUCGAGAAUAGAGGAGCAAUCAUGCUUUUGAAGGAGGAUCUGGCGAGUUUAGCCUUUCGAGAAUACCCAUACUUGUUUGCUCAAGUUGGUGAUCUGACAAUCAAUGAUGUAGAAGAUCUACUAAAUAAUUACAAACAGUUGGUUUUCAAGUAUGUUUGUCUUUCCAAAGGGCUAGGUGGCACUACUCCAUCCAAUUCUCAAAUUCAUGCCCACGUUGAUGUUGAAUUUGUCGAGAAACAUCAAGAUGCUGGAGUAGUAGAGCCAAAUGAUGAAUCACAAAAACAAAUUACUACGACGGAUAAUUCUGGCACAGACUCUCUUGUUACUGAGGAAAAUGUUGAAUCAAAGUCUGAACAGGCCAAGGGAAUGGUGCUUGAAGAGGAGCAAAAGGAGGAGACUUCUCAAUAAUAUCUGCCGAGGCUGGUCAUGUCCUCUGUAGGAGCAAUGCAACUUCCAACACAAAAGGCUGUCAUUAGUAUUUAUGCUUCUGUUAAAGGGAGAGAUAUCUUGAUUUUGUGUUGCAACAAGCAUCUUACCUCUGCCAAAUUGCAGGGAGAACAGUGAGGGACAAUCAGAAAUUGAUUGUGCCAUUUUGUGACGCGUCAAAUAUAUGUAGUUGAGUACCGGAAAACCAACUCAGCAACACCUGAUCCCAGAAUACGUCUGAUAUUUUUCUCCACUUAUAUGUAGCAUAAAUGACUACAUGGUAUCAGAAUGCACAUGGACAUGGAUGAUUAUAUUCUUGACAGACAGCGCUUUUUGUUUUUACCUAUCAAAAAGUGGCAUCAGGGUUGAUUGAUUGUUCUCCAGUUGUUGGAUCUUUCCUUGACCUGUCUGCCCUCUUCCUUCUAGUUGUGAAGCACGAGAAAGAGUCUUCUUUUAUCACCUAACAAGAUCAGCCAAUACAUAAAUAUUAUAUGGAUGGAGGGUUUUUGUUGGGGGGACAAUCUUUCAAUUAUUUUCGGACCUAUAAAUAAUUUUAGGUUCAGAUAUGCCUUCUACAAGGACAUGAAUGGGGUCUAAAUGCAUGUUCUUAAUAUAUAUAUCUGUUUUAUUUAUUUAUUUAUUUUUAUUUUGUCCUUGUGGAAGGCAUUUUGGUGUUAUUAUUUUUGCUUAUGGAAGUCUUUGUCAAAACUCGAUUUCAACUCAGAUAAUCUCCUGAUUUUCUAGCGUAAGCAAUAAUAUUAUUUUUAAUAGGAG